GUGUGUGUGUGUGUGUGUGUGUGUUAUGAAGCACUGUUCCUGGUAAUUGGAUCCUGAGCUAAUGAGGGUGUUUGAGUGACAAAUAUAUUAAACCUAAACAUCCCCUCUCCCUAUUCUUGAAAACGCGACCCUAGGCAACACAGCGACUAGGCAACACAGCGACUAGCCAACACAGCGACUAGGCAACACAGCGACUAGCCAACACAGCGACUAGGCAACACAGCGACUAGCCAACACAGCGACUAGCCAACACAGCGACUAGCCAACACAGCGACUAGGCAACACAGCGACUAGCCAACACAGCGACUAUGCAACACAGCGACUAGGCAACACAGCGACUAGCCAACACAGCGACUAGGCAACACAGCGACUAGGCAACACAGUCACUAUCAACACAGCGACUAGCCAACACAGCGACUAGGCAACACAGCGACUAGGUAACACCGCGACUAGGUAACACAGUGACUAGGCAACACAGUGACUAGCCAACACAGUGACGACUAGCCAACACAGUGACUAUCAACACAGCG
rnacentral:lncRNA from 1 species